rnacentral:lncRNA from 1 species
AAAAAUUCCAAUAAGCUAAUAACACAUUACUGCACUCACAAAAUGUUCUGAUUUUUCGUUCUGGCAUUUUUGAAGAAUCUGGAGUUUCUCCUCUGCUGCACCCCUAGAGAAAAUAAUUGUGCAUGUUUUCAGGCCUGUAAUCUCCAUGGAAUGGAAGUCUGUUUCGAGAAAAAGAAAAGGCUAAUAGCUUGCACACAACCACCGUACAAUCAGUUUGGAUUUUGGACUGAAGUCUGCUCUCUGGUAUGGUUUUCCUCUCAAGUUUUGCUUAAACUAGUUUGAUUUACUAAUGCCAUAAAAGCUUUUGUUUAGUAUGCAAUGUGUUUACAAGAUACUGACUAUGAUGCUUGCAGCUUGUUUCCCUUCAUCGAUGUUACAUGCAAAACAACCAGCUAAGACCAUCUGAUUCUAAACAAGUGCAGAAAUGUGGCUGCUGUCACCACUCAUGCGGAUGCCCAAGGAGAACAGAGACGAGGAGGGCCUUUGCUAACCUUGCCAUUUUCACAUAGAGGAUGACGUAAGGAUCUUCGCUGCUGUAUGGUUGUUGAUGUUCCCAGGCCGAGAGCACAAUUUGCUGAAACCCAUCCUGCUUAGUCCAGUAGUUUUCAAAACGGAAGCGACGCAAACUGAUGCUGGGCUAGCUGGCCACAAAUCAGAAGCAGG